GGAGACGUAUCGAAGUGGUCAUAACGGGGCUGACUCGAAAUCAGUUUGCCUUCACGGGCACGAGGGUUCGAAUCCCUCCGUCUCCGCCA
rnacentral:tRNA from 1 species